UAUUAGCCCCGAUCGCAACGGCAUCCUUUUUUGUUUUUCGCGAUGGAUGACGCAUGGGCAAAACAAAAAAGAUAUAGUGGAGAGCGGGACUGCUC
rnacentral:sRNA from 1 species